CGCGUAGGCGGACUAUUAAGUCAGGGGUGAAAUCCCGGGGCUCAACCCCGGAACUGCCCUUGAUACUGGUAGUCUUGAGUUCGAGAGAGGUGAGUGGAACUCCGAGUGUAGAGGUGAAAUUCGUAGAUAUUCGGAAGAACACCAGUGGCGAAGGCGGCUCACUGGCUCGAUACUGACGCUGAGGUGCGAAAGUGUGGGGAGCAAACAGGAUUAGAUACCCUGGUAGUCC
rnacentral:rRNA from 1 species